CAGCAGCCGCGGGAAUACGGAGGGUGCAAGCGUUAAUCGGAAUUACUGGGCAUAAAGCGCACGCAGGCGAUUUGUUAAGUCAGAUGUGAAAUCCCCGAGCUUAACUUGGGAACUGCAUUUGAAACUGGCAAGCUAGAGUCUUGUAGAGGGGGGUAGAAUUCCAGGUGUAGCGGUGAAAUGCGUAGAGAUCUGGAGGAAUACCGGUGGCGAAGGCGGCCCCCUGGGCAAAGACUGACGCUCAGGUGCGAAAGCGUGGGGAGCAAACAGGAUUAGAUACCCGUGUAGUCCCUGUCUCUUAUAC
rnacentral:rRNA from 1 species